UUAUUUUUCAAUUCAUUUUCUUAUCCAGCGCCUGAAAAGUUUCUCGUUCAUCUUCUCCUAGAAAAGGAAUUCCGGCCUUCUACCAUCCGAGAUUCUCUAAAAUUUCCAGUUUUGGGAAGGAAUCAGAAAGUCCUGUCGAAAGUUUCUUUAAGAUAGACGGUUAGGAGGAGAUGAUGCGAAGACAUGUAUCCAAGCUUUUUCGGCAUUGUUUGGGAUCGCGGCGUUCUAAUUAUUCGAAUUGUGUUUCCUAAGGACUAAAAACGGCUUAACAAAAUGCAUGAAGGUUCCCCUACUUGCGGGUUUGGGGUCGAUGUAUGCAUUCUGAUCUAAAUUUACAGAGACGCAAUUUUUCAUUAAUCGACAACAUGACCUCCAAAAAUGCGCAUGCCGAUUUCAGGAUGCUUGGAAGGGUUACAGUCUUACCCUUGAAUUAUGGAGAGGGAGGUUGACAUACCCGUCUUUAUCUUUCCAAAGGGCUGUUUCAUAUUUUUCACAAUUGCGAUUCAAAAAUAGUAAAAGGUAUGCUUUACUUGAAAAAGGAAAUAAGUUCUAUUUUUCAUAGGGGAUGUUUGUUUACAAGUAGUAUUUAGUAAACUUCAGAAAUUCAGAUUUAUGGUCUAUUUGGGAUAGUUUAAGCUUAUUAAUAAGCUACUGGGCAAUAACUGCCUCAGGAAACUACCGUGGAAAAACUGCUGUGAAUGAGCUGACCGACCGUUUGUUUUCUGCGGUUUGAAAACAACUGUGAC